rnacentral:lncRNA from 1 species
CAUUGAUUGAUGAAAACUGAACAUUACAAUUGAUGAAAGCAGAAAAUUACAAAUGCUGGUGCAGGGGGCGGACACCAGUGAGCUUGAAAGAUUUUUGAAUGACUAAUACCCCCUAUAAUAGCAUUCUGAACAAAAACCCAAGUGACGGGAGUAGACGUUUAAAAGACGAGGAAUCAUACUAAUCUUUUAUCAAUAUCAGAGCUAUUUUACAAUUAAAAUAACUAUUACAAUGAAACGAAAAUUACAACUCAAACUUGAAGUAAUAUUUACAAUGUGCGGUCGAAAUUGGGCAAACUGCGGCUGCGAUAGUGUCAAGGGGCUAAGUAAAGCUGCGGUCCUUGACACUCGGUUAGGACAUUUGAAAGAGAUGUGGCCAAAGUCCUUACAACUGAUACAUAGCAAGUGAGAAGUCUUUGGAGUUUCAAAAAUUAUACCCUUAUUUUCCAAAAUUAGAGGAUCAUUAGACGGGGGAGGUCCUAGAAGGGACUUAACAGGAGGAAGUGGAGCCAAUGAAACCGAAAGAUGAUUGUCAUUACGCUUUCUACAUGAAGAAGAUGACCUUGGGCUAUCAACCUUUACACUUGUUUUUCCAAAGGGAAGGAACACUAGACAGGGAAGGCUCAAUGAUAGACUUAUGAUGAUAUGACGCUAAUGAGAUAGGUGAAUGAUGGUGAUCGCGCUUUUCAUAUGCAGUACUAAUAAGUAACUUGUAGUCCUGAGCUCAAGAGUAAGCUUGAUCAAGAGUAGUGAUGCCUCGAAAGAAAAGCUCACGCCGAAGUUCAUCUCGUAGACCUUGUAUAAACCUACUUAAAGUCAGGGCCUCGUCCUCAACGACAUGACAUUUCACUCGAAAUUCCUCAAAUUGAGCAAUGUACUCAGUUACUAGCCGAUUCUCUUGUGUAAGGGUGUUCCAUUGGGUAAAAAUUUCAUGAUCUAAACGACCAUCGAAAGUAGGAAUAUCUAAGUCAAUGUCUCUAAAGAAACGCUCCUUACGACGAGGAAGAGAAUGAGUACCAUGAUGACCAUGGCCUUGUUCUCGCUCACGAACCUGAUCCCUAUUCCUACGAUCGCGUCGAAAAUAUUCUUGAUCACUUUGUCCACGAUGAUAUUGUUUAUUAUGAGACGCUUCAGAAUAAGCGUCCGUCAAAUGAGGGGUUCGCUUAAAAUUGCUCAACUUAGCAGUUAGGGUCUUUCUCUCCUCACGGGUAGCAGUUAUAUCUGAUUG